GACGAACGCUGGCGGCGUGCUUAACACAUGCAAGUCGAGCGGAAAGGCCCUUCGGGGUACUCGAGCGGCGAACGGGUGAGUAACACGUGAGUAACCUGCCCCAGACUUUGGGAUAACCCUCGGAAACGGGGGCUAAUACCGGAUACGACACAGCUUCGCAUGGGGUCUGUGUGGAAAGUUUUUCGGUUUGGGAUGGGCUCGCGGCCUAUCAGCUUGUUGGUGGGGUGAUGGCCUACCAAGGCGACGACGGGUAGCCGGCCUGAGAGGGCGACCGGCCACACGGGGCCUGAGACCCGGCCCAGACCCCUAGGGGGGGGAGCAGGGGGGAAUAUUGCACAAUGGGGGGAAGCCUGAUGCGGACCCGCCGGGGGGGGGAUGACGGCCUUCGGUUUGAAAACCUUUUUCCGGGGGGAGGAAGGGAAGGGGACGGUACCUGCAGAAGAAGCGGCGGCAAAUCAAGG
rnacentral:rRNA from 1 species